UCUUCUUCUACUUUGUGAUACAGGCUAUAGCACAACGUUUCUGAAUCAUCACAGCAAGAGAUAUACAACUUUAAAAGUAAUGUGCUUUGAAAAAAGGUGUUUUUGUUAUGGAAAUCCUAGGGUGGAGUUCUAGUGUGGAUGAAGUUCUUAGAUCCGCUUCUGGUUCGGUUGAGGAUGUGAAACUGUUUUGCUGUGAUCAAACUCAGGUUAACCAUUUGCCUUGGAAGUUAUGUUAGAGGCUGCUAUGGAGUUUUCGGUUUUGUAUGGAGGUUAACCAACCAAUUAGUAAGGGCAGAUUCAGGUUGUGGCUUUGAAUCGUGCUGUUGGAGGUUAGGUGGAUAUCAUUUGGGUUGAAAUUCGUUGGACAGUUGGAAGUUCGGUUGGAAUUUGUUAUGGUUCUAUUCUGAAUUCAGUUGAAAUUUGGAAAUUCGGUUAGAUGUUGGUUUUUACUAAAGUUCUAUUAGUGAAGUGAUUUAGAAAAUGCUGUUAGAUAGUGAAUUAUUCU